rnacentral:rRNA from 1 species
AUUGAACGCUGGCGGCAGGCCUAACACAUGCAAGUCGAACGAGUGGCGGACGGGUGAGUAAUGGCUAGGAAACUGCCUGAUGGAGGGGGAUGACUACUGGAAACGGUAGCUAAUACCGCAUACCAUCGGAUGUGCCCAGAUGGGAUUAGCUAGUUGGUGGGGUAACGGCUCACCUAGGCGACGAUCCCUAGCUGGCCUGAGAGGAUGACCGGCCACACUGGAACUGAGACACGGCCCAGACUCCUACGGGAGGCAGCAGUGGGGAAUAUUGGACAAUGGGCGAAAGCCUGAUGCAGCCAUGCCGCGUGUGUGAAGAAGGCUUUCGGGUUGUAAAGCACUUUCAUCGGGGAGGCGGUACCCGCAGAAGAAGCACCGGCUAACUCCGUGCCAGCAGCCGCGGUAAUAC